GAUGAACGCUGGCGGCGUGCCUAAUACAUGCAAGUCGAGCGAACAGACGAGGAGCUUGCUCCUCUGACGUUAGCGGCGGACGGGUGAGUAACACGUGGAUAACCUACCUAUAAGACUGGGAUAACUUCGGGAAACCGGAGCUAAUACCGGAUAAUAUAUUGAACCGCAUGGUUCAAUAGUGAAAGACGGUUUUGCUGUCACUUAUAGAUGGAUCCGCGCCGCAUUAGCUAGUUGGUAAGGUAACGGCUUACCAAGGCAACGAUGCGUAGCCGACCUGAGAGGGUGAUCGGCCACACUGGAACUGAGACACGGUCCAGACUCCGACGGGAGGCAGCAGUAGGGAAUCUUCCGCAAUGGGCGAAAGCCUGACGGAGCAACGCCGCGUGAGUGAUGAAGGUCUGCGGAUCGUAAAACUCUGUUAUUAGGGAAGAACAAAUGUGUAAGUAACUAUGCACGUCUUGACGGUACCUAAUCAGAAAGCCACGGCUAACUACGU
rnacentral:rRNA from 1 species